ACUUUCCAAGGAAGGCAGCAGGCGCGCAAAUUACCCAAUCCCGACACGGGGAGGUAGUGACAAUAAAUAACAAUACAGGGCUCUUUCGGGUCUCGUAAUUGGAAUGAGUACAAUUUAAAUCCCUUAACGAGGAACAAUUGGAGGGCAAGNNNGGUGCCAGCAGCCGCGGUAAUUCCAGCUCCAAUAGCGUAUAUUAAAGUUGUUGCAGUUAAAAAGCUCGUAGUUGAAUUUCGGGAUUGACGUGAUGGUCGUGCCUUAAGGGGUAUGAACUGUCGCAGUUGAUUUCUCACCUUCUGGAGAAGCAUGAUGUCCUUAAUUGGGUGUCAUGUGGAACCAGGACCUUUACCUUGAAAAAAUUAGAGUGUUUAAAGCAGGCAUUUUGCUCGAAUACAUUAGCAUGGAAUAAUAGAAUAGGACGGCAUGGUUCUAUUUUGUUGGUUUCUAGGAUCACCGUAAUGAUUAAUAGGGAUAGUUGGGGGCAUUAGUAUUCAAUUGUCAGAGGUGAAAUUCUUGGAUUUAUUGAAGACUANCUACUGCGAAAGCAUUUGCCAAGGAUGUUUUCAUUAAUCAAGAACGAAAGUUAGGG
rnacentral:rRNA from 1 species